GUGACAUAUUUUACUACAAC
rnacentral:miRNA from 2 species